rnacentral:misc_RNA from 1 species
AAGUCGUAACAAGGUUUCCGUAGGUGAACCUGCGGAAGGAUCAUUAGUUGAUUGGAGGAUGAAGAAUUAUUUACUAGUAAGGUUUAUUUAUUCAAUGCUAGCAAAAAUACACACACACACACUUAACAAUAACCAUACAGUAUUUACAUGAGCACCUUGCUGCAAUGGAUCUCUCGGCUCUU